rnacentral:rRNA from 1 species
UACGUAGGGGGCAAGCGUUAUCCGGAUUUACUGGGUGUAAAGGGAGCGUAGGUGGCAUGGUAAGCCAGAAGUGAAAACCCGGGGCUCAGCCCCGCGGAUUGCUUUUGGAACUAUCAGGCUGGAGUGCUGGAGGGGUAAGCGGAGUUCCUAGUGUAGCGGUGAAAUGCGUAGAUAUUAGGAGGAACACCGGUGGCGAAGGCGGCUUACUGGACAGAAACUGACACUGAGGCUCGAAAGCGUGGGGAGCAAACAGG